AUGGCUUCCAUGGCGGUCGCGGAGGAAAGGGAUGCCAUGGAUUCAUCUAGGAUGCCGAUCGGCAAAGGGCUAUCGGUGGAUGUUGCAAUGGAGCCCAAUGAGGAGGGCAUGGGUGAGCAUCCUGUCAAGCCUAGGAAGCCAUACACGAUCACGAAGCAGCGGGAGAAGUGGACGGAGGAAGAACACGAGAAGUUCCUGGAGGCGCUGAAGCUGUAUGGUCGGUCCUGGCGUCAGAUACAAGAACACAUUGGCACAAAGACCGCUGUCCAAAUCCGAAGCCAUGCCCAGAAGUUUUUCUCCAAGGUGGUGCGUGAACCUGGUGCUAAAAUUGAGAUCGAGAUCCCUCCCCCUAGGCCAAAGAGGAAACCACUACAUCCAUAUCCUCGCAAGCGUGCCAACUCCUGCAACGGAGCAAACCCAGCAAAUGGGCAAUCCAAGCUUGCUCAAAUUUCAUCUUCUUCUGGUUCUGACCAAGAGAAUGGUUCUCCCGUGUCGGUGCUAUCUGCGAUGCAGUCGGAUGCCUUUGGAUCAUCGAUGUCAAACCCCUCAUCUCGCAGUACCUCCCCAGAGUCAUCAGAUGAGGAGAAUAAUGUUCCUCCAAUGGUCAGCGAAGAGGAAGGUCAACAAACAGGGAUAGAUCAAUCCCACAAGGAAGCUGAUCAGGAAAACAUAGAUAUGGGUACCUCUGAAGAGGAUUCUUCUGAUGAGGUACAGGUAACAAGUGUGAAGCUGUUCGGGAAGACGGUCGUCAUCCCAGACCCGAGGAAAAGAUGCUCCCCGGAUACAGGCUCAGGGCAUGAAAACGGAGAGCAAACCUCACAAUCCUCUAACAUAGGAACAUCACAAGCCCCACUGGCUGUAGAGAUUCCAACACAUACAAAGGGAGGGCAAAUCUCACAAUCCUCUAACAAGGCAACAUCACAAGCCCCAUUGGCUGUAGAGGUUCCGACGUAUACAAAUGGAGAGCAAAUCUCAGAAUUCUCUUACAAGGCAACAUCACAAGCCCCAUUGGCUGUAGAGGUUCCGACAUGUACAAAUGGAGAGCAAAUCUCAGAAUUCUCUUACAAGGCAACAUCACAAGCCCCAUUGGCUGUAGAGAUUCAAGCAUACGCUGCGCCGCCAAGUGCGUGGGUUCUUCCAUACAAUUCAUUCCCGCUCCAUUUCGGGGAAUCAGCGGAAGCCAGAAUUGCCCGUUUGCACAUGUGGUGGCCAUACUAUGGGUUUCCUAUGGUCCAUCCAAGUGGACCGAGUGCAGUGGCACACAACGGAAAAGUUACUGAUGAGAGCGAAGCUGCGAAGAGCCCUCCAGUUGAAUCAAGCUUGGACUUCGUUGACAAUACUCAGGCAACAGCCAGCAAGCAGUGGAAAGUGCUUGAGUCGCUUGGAACAGCGCAGGCCCCUCCUUCGGCUUCUAAUUUUCAGCUUAAACCAAGCACGAACUCGGCCUUCGUGAGAGUGAAGCCGAUCAUCAGCAGUGGAGAUGAGCCGGUGAGGGGGUUCACGCCGUACAAAAGAUGUAGAGUCGAAUGA
rnacentral:rRNA from 1 species